rnacentral:misc_RNA from 1 species
UCCUCGUUUAAGCGAGGCAGUCUGUCCAGAGUGCUCCGAUCUUGCGAUCGGGUGGCAACUAAUGACAAGGGUUGCGCUCGUUGCGGGACUUAACCCAACAUCUCACGACACGAGCUGACGACAGCCAUGCAGCACCUGUGUUCCGAUUCCCUUUCGGGCACACCCAUAUCUCUACGGGCUCUCGGACAUGUCAAGGCCAGGUAAGGUUCUUCGCGUUGCAUCGAAUUAAGCCACAUACUCCACCGCUUGUGCAGGCCCCCGUCAAUUUCUUUGAGUUUUAAUCUUGCGACCGUACUUCCCAGGCGGCUUGCUUAACGCGUUAGCUCCACCACAAGAGGGGUCGAUUCCUCUUACAGCAAGCAAACACCGUUUAGGGCUAGGACUAC